rnacentral:rRNA from 1 species
UGUCGUCAGCUCGUGUCGUGAGAUGUUGGGUUAAGUCCCGCAACGAGCGCAACCCUUAUCUUCAGUAGCCAGCAGGUAAAGCCGGGCACUCUGGAGAGACUGCCGGGGAUAACCCGGAGGAAGGUGGGGAUGACGUCAAAUCAUCAUGCCCCUUAUGAUUUGGGCUACACACGUGCUACAAUGGCGUAAACAGAGGGAAGCGAGCCCGCGAGGGGGAGCAAAUCCCAAAAAUAACGUCCCAGUUCGGAUUGUAGUCUGCAACCCGACUACAUGAAGCUGGAAUCGCUAGUAAUCGCGGAUCAGAAUGCCGCGGUGAAUACGUUCCCGGGUCUUGUACACACCGCCCGUCACACCAUGGGAGUCGGAAAUGCCCGAAGUCUGUGACCUAACCGUAAGGGAGGAGCAGCCGAAGGCAGGUCGGAUGACUGGGGUGAAGUCGUAACAAGGUAGCCGUAUCGGAAGGUGCGGCUGGAUCACCUC